UUACAGUCAUAUCACGCUGAGACACAGUUUCUCACACGAUCACCGAAGUUAAGCAGCGCCAAGCCUGGUCAAUACCUAGAUGGGUGACCGCUUUGGAAUAGCAGGUGCUGUAAG